GGAAGGCCGGAGCACGGGCUGAACUUUCCCAGGGGGUAACUCUGACUUCAGCCCUGUCUGCCAUCUCUAAAUGGGGAACCGAAAGAGGGCUCUGCACCCAGGAGGAAGCUGGCACGGGGAGCCAGGAGACGGGCUGCAGGGCACCCCCGAGGUUCUGCCAGCCUGCAUUUUAAAUGCAAAAGCAAAAGCAAUGUAUGGGCGUCUGAGUCCCUUCGAGUCAGCUCUCUGAGGACGAGAGGCGCCUCAGCUCCCACCCAUGUUGCUCAAGGUCAGCUACAAAUUGUUGGAUGGUGAGGAGGGAGCAGACGCCGGUUAGACCACCGGGACGCAGGAACGCGGGGAGCAAAUGUGAAAGCAUGUGCGGUCCUUGCGGCCCCUUAGGAGGGGUGGAAAGUAUUAAGAAGCAGGGGGGAGGGAGGGACCCUCCUCCGGACCCCAUCGCAGCAGAGCAUCUCUUUCAAGUUAGUCCCUGGACGGGCCUGAAGCAGGUGGCCACUUGGCUGUGAAGAGAAGGACGGCGAGAGGCAGUGCGAGCACCAGACUCCCAGGCCUGUGCCCCCUCACCCUCGUCUAUACAGCAGCUCCGACGGGGCAGAAUGAGCGGUGGAAGCUGCUCCGGGCCCAGUCUGUGUUCUGGAACCUCGCCGCCUGCUCCCACCUUGUCCGAAGCUACUGAGACCCGACAGUGUCCUCUCCACUGAGGCAGCAGCUGGCAGGAGGACGCCCGGGUGGCCUACCCUCCCCGGGCCGUGCCGGGACUCACCUCCCGCGACCCACCUCCUCCUGCCCUGCCUCUGCCCUCCCCAUCUCUGGCAGCUCCUGAAGUGCAGCCUCGGUUUACCUUCUGCCCUCAGGGCUGUUCUCAGUCCUUAACCACUUCCUGCCCCAAGCCCCUUCCUAGGAAUCACAGGCCCCGAGGGGGUGACGCAGACUGCUCAGCCUGGCCAGGAAGGAGCAACAGCCUGUUGGCCACACAGGACCUGUGACUUCGCUUCUGGGAAGCCUGAGAGCCGGGUGGACUGGACGCGUGGGCUCUGGGGGGAGCUGAAGCUGGCAGAAUGGCAGACCGGGCUCUGGGGCCUGGGCAGAGCACCAGGUGAAGAAGCAGAAGGCUGGCACCUAAGUGGCGGUGCCCUGAUGGCACUGGCCUCCAGUCCCCUCCUCUGAGCCGGGAGCUCCCCUCUGAGGACUGUCUGCUGUCCCUGAAUGCUCUGCCUGUGUGUUCUGGGGGUCCUGGUGGCGCAAGCCUGUUCCGAAUUCCAUCUCAACGACGGAUGUUCCAUUGAAGAGUCCCUUCACCCUCUCCUCCUCCUUCAAGGCCUGUGCUGCGUAAGAACCCCAGGUGUGGAGACCAGUGUGGCCAUCGGAGGACAACUAGGCACAACUGAGACGUUAAAAAUGUGUUUGUCCAUGACCCGGCAAUUUCACCCCUGGGAACGUGACCCAAGGCUGACCUUGGGGUGGGUGGUCGUCCCAGGUUUGUCUGCGGCGGCAGACUUUUGGAGGGGAACUGAGUGUCCAUCCUUGGGAUGAUGGACAGUAGAGUGGGUCUGGGCAUAGGUGUGGCUUACGCAGCAGCCAGAAGCAAAUACUCGAAGUGUUGACAGCAACUGGAAAGAAUAAGAUUUCUUGUGAAGAAAGUAGAAAACAAAACGAGAACCCUGAUAUCACCUCGGCAAACUUAAAAUGUAUACACAGGAAACAAGACACAUUUUGUAGGAACAUAUUCAAAUAAAAGACACCCACUCAAGUGUCUGCCUGUUAA